UCAGGAUGAACGCUGGCGGCGUGCCUAACACAUGCAAGUCGAGCGGUAUAUGUUAAACAAAUCUUCGGAAGAGUGAGAGCAUAGAGAGCGGCGGACGGGUGAGUAACGCGUAGGCAACCUGCCCCAUACAGAGGGAUAGCCUCGGGAAACCGGGAUUAAAACCUCAUAACGCGAGAGAGUCACAUGGCUUUUUCGCCAAAGAUUUAUCGGUAUGGGAUGGGCCUGCGUCUGAUUAGCUAGUUGGUGGGGUAACGGCUCACCAAGGCAACGAUCAGUAGCCGACCUGAGAGGGUAAUCGGCCACAUUGGAACUGAGACACGGUCCAAACUCCUACGGGAGGCAGCAGUGGGGAAUAUUGCACAAUGGGCGAAAACCUGAAUGCAGCAACGCCGCGUGAGCGAUGAAGGCCUUUGGGUCGUAAAGCUCUGUCCUAGGGGAAGAAUAAAUGACGGUACCCUUGGAGGAAGCCCCGGCUAACUACGUGCCAGCCGCCGC
rnacentral:rRNA from 1 species